CCGUAGGUGAACCUGCGGAAGGAUCAUUAAUGAUUGUAUGCCUGUCGAGCUUGCUCACAGGAUUUUACUCAUAUCCAUAACACCUGUGCACUUGUCGGAUGGCUUAGUGAAGACCGCAAGGUUGGAACUAUCCAUCUACUUUACAUAACAAUCCUGUAACAAAUGUAGUCUUAUUAUAACAUAAUAAAACUUUCAACAACGGAUCUCUUGGCUCUCGCAUCGAUGAAGAACGCAGCGAAAUGCGAUACGUAAUGUGAAUUGCAGAAUUCAGUGAAUCAUCGAAUCUUUGAACGCACAUUGCACUCUCUGGUAUUCCGGAGAGUAUGCUUGUUUGAGUAUCUGUAGACAUCUCAACCCUCAAGGCGCUUGCGUCGGGAGGAUUGGACUUGAGCGAUCCCGACUCUUUCUCACGAAAGAGGAGGGUCGCUUGAAAUGCAGGUGCAGCAGGACAUUCUUCUGAGCUAAAAGCAUAUCUAUUUAGUCCCGUCAAACGGAUUAUUACUUUUGCUUCAGCUAACAUAAAGGUCGAAUGCGCCACAAUCGCUGAUUGCAGGAAAACUCGUUCGUAAGAACUUGUAAACUCGAUCUCAAAUCAAGUAAGACUACCCGCUGAACUUAAGCAUAUCAAUAAGCGGAGGA
rnacentral:rRNA from 1 species